rnacentral:rRNA from 1 species
UGGGCUCAGAACGAACGCGGGCGGCGUGCUUAACACAUGCAAGUCGAACGCGAAAGGGACUUCGGUCCUGAGUAAAGUGGCGCACGGGUGAGUAACGCGUGGAUAAUCUACCCAAUGGUCUGGGAUAACAUUUCGAAAGGGGUGCUAAUACCGGAUAAGACCACGGAGUCUUUGGACUCUGCGGUAAAAGGUGGGGACCUUCGGGCCUACCGCAAUUGGAUGAGUCCGCGUACCAUUAGCUAGUUGGUAGGGUAAAGGCCUACCAAGGCGACGAUGGUUAGCUGGUCUGAGAGGAUGAUCAGCCACACUGGAACUGAGACACGGUCCAGACUCCUACGGGAGGCAGCAGUGGGGAAUUUUGCGCAAUGGGGGAAACCCUGACGCAGCAACGCCGCGUGAGUGAUGAAGGCCUUCGGGUCGUAAAGCUCUGUCAGAGGGGAAGAAAUGCGGGGUGCUAAUAUCACUUCCGCUUGACGGUACCCUCAAAGGAAGCACCGGCUAACUCCGUGCCAGCAGCCGCGGUAAUACGGAGGGUGCGAGCGUUGUUCGGAAUUAUUGGGCGUAAAGCGCGUGUAGGCGGUUUGUUAAGUCUGAUGUGAAAGCCCCGGGCUCAACCUGGGAAGUGCAUUGGAAACUGGCAGACUUGAAUACGGGAGAGGGCAGUGGAAUUCCUAGUGUAGGAGUGAAAUCCGUAGAUAUUAGGAGGAACACCGGUGGCGAAGGCGGCUGCCUGGACCGAUAUUGACGCUGAGACGCGAAAGCGUGGGGAGCAAACAGGAUUAGAUACCCUGGUAGUCCACGCCGUAAACGAUGAGUACUAGGUGUUGCGGGUAUUGACCCCUGCAGUGCCGCAGCUAACGCAUUAAGUACUCCGCCUGGGAAGUACGG